UAUUGGAACGUUAGUAUAACAGCAAGGGAUACGUUGUACGGUCCUUAUUUCCGGUUGGGGAUCCAGCACAUGUGAAACGUCGUUUGGUCUUCCAGCGGGCGUUCAAGUUAAAAAACUGGACACGGUGGCUACAUGUGAUUGAUUAAAAUGAAACCCAUCCUACUGCGGGGCCACGAGCGGUCCAUCAGUCAGAUCAAGUACAACGGAGAAGGAGACCUUCUGUUUCCGUUGCUAAAGAUCCAGUGGCCAAUGUGUGGUACGACUCGGCACCUACAAUGGACACAUGGGAGCUGUGCCGUGCGUCGACUGUGACUGGGACACCAAAAAUGUUUUGACAGGAUCAGCUGAUGACAGUGGAACUGCGUGAUUGGAGGGUGAAAAGAAAAUGCCUGUGUUUACAUGGAUAGAUAGAAGUUUCUGAGUCCCUCUGGAGUUUCAGCAGCAGUACAGCACCAAAACAACAAUAAAAAACGCACAAAUAGAACAUGUGGGUUUGAUUUCAGCUGCAACAUCAUCAUGUUUUCCACAGACAAGCAGAUGGGCUGUCAGUGUUUCAUGAACCUCUUCGACCUGAGGGAUCCACAGAUCGGUAGUAUUCCGGAGAAGUCCUAAAGAAAGCUAAGGAGCACAGCAGGCACAUCAACGACAUCCAGACGUCUGUAGACCUCACCAUGUUUAUCAGUGUCUCAAAGGACAACACCGCCAAGGUGCUUAUGACAGGAGGCCAUGGAAGUGACCACAGCUUCCACCAGGAUUGGCAAGUUUGAGGCCAGGUUCUUCCAAGCUGUGUACGACGAGGAGUUUGGCAGGAGUCAAAGGUCAUUCUGGUCCCAUCAACUGUGUGGCUUUCCACUCUGAAGGCAAGAGGUAAAUGAGACCAACACAGCUUUUGAUUGUUCCAAAAAUAGUUACAUCAAGGGCAACUGGACAAGGUGGAUUUGACCUCUCCUCAAGAGGCUUCUUCAGUUCAUCAGAACUGAAGAAGCCUCUUGGAUGAGAAACGUCUUAAAAAACAAAAACAAAAAAAAACAACUACUUUGUCCAGUUGCCCUUGAUGCAACUAUUUUUGGAUUCAAUGACUGAGAACCUACACAGACAGCUUUUGAUUGUGUUAUUCCAGCUCGUUGUCAUUCAUUGUGCCUUACUGAUAUUGUACUUUCAUUGUAAGCUAAAAGACUGUUGUGAACCUUCCAGAACAAGCCUUAUCUAAAGGUAACAAUUAAUUGUGCUUCAUUGCCUUUGUAAAAUAGUCACUUUCAUUGUGAAGUGUAUUUGAUUGUUGUAAACCUUCCAGAAUAAAGAACGUUGUUGGAA